UACAGAGGUCCCAAGCGUUGUUCGGAUUCACUGGGCGUAAAGGGUGCGUAGGUGGCCAGGUAAGUUUGGUGUGAAAGCUCGGAGCUUAACUCCGAAAAGUCAUUGAGUACUAUCUGGCUGGAGGGUCGGAGGGGAGACUGGAAUUCUCGGUGUAGCAGUGAAAUGCGUAGAUAUCGAGAGGAACACCAGUGGCGAAGGCGGAUCUCUGGACAGUUCCUGACACUGAGGCACGAAGGCCAGGGGAGCAAACGGG
rnacentral:rRNA from 1 species